rnacentral:rRNA from 1 species
UACGUAGGUGGCAAGCGUUGUCCGGAAUUAUUGGGCGUAAAGCGCGCGCAGGCGGUCCUUUAAGUCUGAUGUGAAAUCUUGCGGCUCAACCGCAAGCGGUCAUUGGAAACUGGGGGGACUUGAGUGCAGAAGAGGAAAGCGGAAUUCCACGUGUAGCGGUGAAAUGCGUAGAGAUGUGGAGGAACACCAGUGGCGAAGGCGGCUUUCUGGUCUGUAACUGACGCUGAGGCGCGAAAGCGUGGGGAGCAAACAGG